rnacentral:rRNA from 1 species
AUUGAACGCUGGCGGCAGGCCUAACACAUGCAAGUCGAACGAGUGGCGGACGGGUGAGUAGUGUCUUGAAAACUGCCCGAUGGAGGGGGAUAACUACUGGAAACGGUGGCUAAUACCGCAUACAAUCCGAUGUACCCAGAUGGGAUUAGCUAGUAGGUGGGGUAAAGGCUCACCUAGGCGACGAUCCCUAGCUGGUCUGAGAGGAUGACCAGCCACACUGGAACUGAGACACGGUCCAGACUCCUACGGGAGGCAGCAGUGGGGAAUUUUGCACAAUGGGCGCAACCCUGAUGCAGCCAUGCCGCGUGUAUGAAGAAGGCCUUCGGGUUGUAAAGUACUUUCAGCGGGGAGGCGUUACCCGCAGAAGAAGCACCGGCUAACUCCGUGCCAGCAGCCGCGGUAAUUC